CAAGUCGAACGGUAACAGGAGAGAGCUUGCUCUCUUGCUGACGAGUGGCGGACGGGUGAGUAACGCGUGGGGAUCUAUCCUAGAGCGGGGGACAACCCGAGGAAACUCGGGCUAAUACCGCAUACACCUUACGAGGCAAAGUGGGCCUCUGUUUACAUGCUCACACUUUAGGAUGAACCUGCGUCCGAUUAGCUUGUUGGUAGGGUAAAGGCCUACCAAGGCGACGAUCGGUAGCUGGUCUGAGAGGACGAUCAGCCACACCGGGACUGAGACACGGCCCGGACUCCUACGGGAGGCAGCAGUGGGGAAUAUUGGACAAUGGGGGCAACCCUGAUCCAGCAAUACCGCGUGUGUGAAGAAGGCCUUCGGGUUGUAAAGCACUUUCAGUGGGGAAGAAAAGCUGAUGGUUAAUACCCAUCAGUCUUGACGUUACCCACAGAAGAAGCACCGGCUAACUCUGUGCCAGCAGCCGCGGUAAUACAGAGGGUGCGAGCGUUAAUCGGAAUUACUGGGCGUAAAGCGCGCGUAGGUGGAUAGUUAAGUCGGAUGUGAAAGCCCUGGGCUCAACCUAGGAACUGCAUCCGAAACUGGCUGUCUAGAGUAUGGUAGAGGGU
rnacentral:rRNA from 1 species